UUGGAGGGCAAGUCUGGUGCCAGCAGCCGCGGUAAUUCCAGCUCCAAUAGCGUAUAUUAAAGUUGUUGCAGUUAAAAAGCUCGUAGUUGAAUUUCGGGAUCAAAUUGUCGGUCGUGCCUUGGUACGCACUGGCAUUAUUGGUUCCUAUCUUCUGAAAAACCGCGAUUGUCAUUAAUUUGGUGUCAUGGGGAAUCAGAACUGUUACUUUGAAAAAAUUAGAGUGUUUAAAGCAGGCGCACGCUUGAAUACAUUAGCAUGGAAUAAUGAAAUAGGACGUUUGAUUCUAUUUUGUUGGUUUCUAGGAUCGACGUAAUGAUUAAUAGGGAUAGUUGGGGGCGUUAGUAUUCAAUUGUCAGAGGUGAAAUUCUUGGAUUUAUUGAAGACUAACUACUGCGAAAGCAUUUGCCAAGGAUGUUUCCAUUAAUCAAGAACGAAAGUUAGGGGAUCGAAGACGAUCAGAUACCGUCGUAGUCUUAACCAUAAACUAUGCCGACUAGGGAUCGGAUGAUGUUAAUUUUAUAAUGACUCAUUCGGCGCCUUACGGGAAACCAAAGUGUUUGGGUUC
rnacentral:rRNA from 1 species